rnacentral:lncRNA from 1 species
GACAGAGAAGAAGCCAGAGAGCGGGGAGGCUGGCUUCAUCCUUUCCAGGAUGCCUAGGAAGAACCAAUCAAUACCUGGGAGACGAUACAUCUCCUUUCCACGUUACUUGGGGACUAAAAUUUCAUUCCAGAAACUUCUGGUGGUGCAGACACCUUCCAAAGCACAGUCUACAGGACAACUCCUGUACCUUCUUAAGCCUAGGACACCGUUAGGGUAUGUUUGAACCUGACUUUGGAUAUACUAAAACAUGUGGCAAUAUGUUAAAUACAGGAAACUGUGCACCUGUUCAUGUAUGGUGACGCCACGGAGGGCCAGACUGCUGCAGUGCCCAAGGUGUGCCAUCUCCACAGAGAACCCAUCUUCACUCCCUUUAGGCAAUUCCCUCCCACCAGAGGCAGGAAGCAAACUACAACACCAUACUGGAGCAGCAAACAUAACCAUGUGAGCUAUCACGCACCAGCUCCUUCCUUAUUUUUGAUCACCCUGGACUCAGUUAGCCCGGCUUCCCACAGUAAGACUGUGUCUAGACUGUGGGGACAACAGGCUGGGAGCCAGGAAUGGACCUCAAGCCUACGAGAGCGUCCAAGCUGCUUUACUAAUACCUUUGAACCUUCCGAUGACUGGAACAUAGUUGAAAUUUAUUAGAAAAUAGAAAAACAGCUUUGGCACAACACUACCAGUCAUCAUGUACGUCCCUGAAUAACAAAUGUUCAUCUCUAGGUCAUGCCUCCAGAUGUGUAAUUGAAGAUACUAACUGGAUGAAUGAACAAUUUAAAGUUCCAGGGGAACAAAGCGCUGUUCUGGAUGAUUCCGCCAGCACCACUCCCUCUUCCAGUUCAGCUUCACAGCUAUCCAGGGGUGAAGAGUGGGCACACAGCGAACUUUGAGAAAUGCACAUAAUAUGAAUCUCAAGGAAAGAGAAAAGCCACGAAAUCUAUACUAAGCGGAAUCCCCAUGUUGAGAUUCACCAAUAAAAGCCUUUUAGAGUCUGUGG